UGCGAGAAAAGUGACGAGGAAACCAAGUGACUCAAUGACUAACUUGACAUGGAAGAUGGCAACUUUAGACCAAUCUAAUACUGCAGGAACUUGAUGAACAAACAAGCACAGAUAUGUUGAAUAAUGAAUUGGUUGACCUGGUGAUGAGCUGCAAUCAUUGGAAUUAGGGACCUGGGCCUACAUAGAGAAUCGGUGCACGUGGGACUAUGUUUGAUAUUCCUUUGCUAGAAAGGCCGCUAUUAGACGGUUUGAGAGAGGCUGAUAUGUUGAGCAGAGGAGACAAGAUAAUAUGUCAGGAGAGGCUUCAUUUUAUUGUGAAAUAGAGGCAGCAAAUCCACACUGCUGAGAAAUGAACUCAAUCAAAGUCUUAAGAAGUACCUCUGCGUUCAACACAUGAACAUUGCCUCAUGGAUAACGGAGACGGACUACAACCGCAACCUUUUGUC